AAAAAAUUCAUGAUCAAGGACAUUUUGCAAAUAAACCUUUGUUUUCCAGGACUUUUUAAUUUGCUUUUUCAAAUGGUUAUCUAUAGAAAGCCUUUUAAAUAGACAAUUCAACUCAAUUACACACCUAUCAAAUUUUAUCAACUAAUUUUGAUCUUUUGUUAUUUUUAAGGUUAUUUCAUCAACAGGCAGCAAGCUGAAAAGACCAACACCAACUUUUCAUUCUAGCCGAACAUCCCUUGCUGGUGACACCAGCAAUAGUUCUUCCCCAGCUUCCACAGGUGCCAAAACUAAUCGGGCAGACCCUAAGAAGUCUGCCAGCCGUCCCGGGAGUCGGGCCGGGAGCCGGGCCGGGAGCCGAGCCAGCAGCCGUCGAGGAAGUGACGCCUCUGACUUUGACCUUCUAGAGACACAGUCAGCGUGUUCAGACACUUCUGAGAGCAGUGCCGCAGGGGGGCAGGGCAGCUCCAGAAGAGGGCUCACCAAACCCUCCAAAAUCCCAACCAUGUCUAAGAAGACCACCACUGCCUCCCCCAGGACUCCAUGUCCCAAGCGAUAACACUGUACAAGCAGCCCACACCACUCUCCACUUUGAAUCCUGCUUCAUACGUUGGGUGUAUAUUUAUUCUGAACGGGAGAAGUUAUAUUGUUAAAAUUGUAAAAG
rnacentral:lncRNA from 1 species